rnacentral:rRNA from 1 species
UACGUAGGUGACAAGCGUUGUCCGGAUUUACUGGGCGUAAAGAGCGCGCAGGCGGUCGAUCAAGUCGAGUGUGAAAGCCCCCGGCUCAACUGGGGAGGGUCAUUCGAUACUGAUCGACUCGAAGGCAGGAGAGGGUAGUGGAAUUCCCGGUGUAGUGGUGAAAUGCGUAGAUAUCGGGAGGAACACCAGUGGCGAAGGCGACUACCUGGCUGUUCUUGACGCUGAGGCGCGAAAGCUAGGGGAGCGAACAGG